UACGAAGGGAGCUAGCGUUGUUCGGAGUUACUGGGCGUAAAGGGCGCGUAGGCGGUUUGGUAAGUCAGAUGUGAAAGCCCUGGGCUCAACCCAGGAAUUGCGUUUGAGACUGCCUUACUUGAAUUCGGGAGAGGUUGGUGGAAUUCCCAGUGUAGAGGUGAAAUUCGUAGAGAUUGGGAAGAACACCCGUGGCGAAGGCGGCCAACUGGACCGACAUUGACGCUGAGGCGCGAAAGCGUGGGGAG
rnacentral:rRNA from 1 species